UCCCGUGUGGUCUAGUGGUUAGGAUGUCUGGUUUUCACAAUAAAAACCCAGAAGUUCACGAGUUCAAACCUCGUCACGGGAA
rnacentral:tRNA from 1 species